rnacentral:rRNA from 1 species
GAUGAACGCUGGCGGCGUGCUUAACACAUGCAAGUCGAACGAAGCAUUUGCGACAGAUUUUUUCGGAAUGAAGUUGCUUAUGACUGAGUGGCGGACGGGUGAGUAACGCGUGGGUAACCUGCCUUGUACUGGGGGAUAGCAGCUGGAAACGGCUGGUAAUACCGCAUAAGCGCACAAUGUUGCAUGACAUGGUGUGAAAAACUCCGGUGGUAUAAGAUGGACCCGCGUCUGAUUAGCUAGUUGGUGAGAUAACAGCCCACCAAGGCGACGAUCAGUAGCCGACCUGAGAGGGUGACCGGCCACAUUGGGACUGAGACACGGCCCAGACUCCUACGGGAAGCAGCAGUGGGGAAUAUUGCACAAUGGAGGAAACUCUGAUGCAGCGACGCCGCGUGAGUGAAGAAGUAAUUCGUUAUGUAAAGCUCUAUCAGCAGGGAAGAUAGUGACGGUACCUGACUAAGAAGCUUCGGCUAAAUACGUG